rnacentral:rRNA from 1 species
GAUGAACGCUGGCGGCGUGCUUAACACAUGCAAGUCGAACGGGAAUUCUUUUAUUGAACCUUCGGUCGAUUUAAUUUAAUUCUAGUGGCGGACGGGUGAGUAACGCGUGGGUACCCUGCCUUAUACAGGGGGAUAACAGUCAGAAAUGGCUGCUAAUACCGCAUAAGCGCACAGAGCUGCAUGGCUCAGUGUGAAAAACUCCGGUGGUAUAAGAUGGACCCGCGUUGGAUUAGCUGGUUGGUGGGGUAACGGCCCACCAAGGCGACGAUCCAUAGCCGGCCUGAGAGGGUGAACGGCCACAUUGGGACUGAGACACGGCCCAGACUCCUACGGGAGGCAGCAGUGGGGAAUAUUGCACAAUGGGGGAAACCCUGAUGCAGCGACGCCGCGUGAAGGAAGAAGUAUCUCGGUAUGUAAACUUCUAUCAGCAGGGAAGAUAGUGGCGGUACCUGACUAAGAAGCCCCGGCUAACUACGUG